ACAAUGGAUUUACUCAAAUCCAACAAAAUUUCUUUAGAAUUUAGU
rfam:Gavia stellata contig46738, whole genome shotgun sequence.